rnacentral:rRNA from 1 species
GAUGAACGCUGGCGGCGUGCCUAAUACAUGCAAGUCGAGCGAACGGACGAGAAGCUUGCUUCUCUGAUGUUAGCAGCGGACGGGUGAGUAACACGUGGAUAACCUACCUAUAAGACUGGGAUAACUUCGGGAAACCGGAGCUAAUACCGGAUAAUAUUUUGAACCGCAUGGUUCAAAAGUGAAAGACGGUCUUGCUGUCACUUAUAGAUGGAUCCGCGCUGCAUUAGCUAGUUGGUAAGGUAACGGCUUACCAAGGCAACGAUGCAUAGCCGACCUGAGAGGGUGAUCGGCCACACUGGAACUGAGACACGGUCCAGACUCCUACGGGAGGCAGCAGUAGGGAAUCUUCCGCAAUGGGCGAAAGCCUGACGGAGCAACGCCGCGUGAGUGAUGAAGGUCUUCGGAUCGUAAAACUCUGUUAUUAGGGAAGAACAUAUGUGUAAGUAACUGUGCACAUCUUGACGGUACCUAAUCAGAAAGCCACGGCUAACUACG